UCUCUCUGCUUUCAGCUUCUUUACAGUGUUGCCUUGUGGCAUGGAGUUCAAGCAGCAUUGUACAGGGCUAUCAAAGCACAGAGAGC
rnacentral:pre_miRNA from 1 species